GGAGAAGUACCCAAGUGGUUGAAGGGACCGCUCUCGAAAAGCGGCAGGCGGUUAAUAGCCGCGCAAGAGUUCGAAUCUCUUCUUCUCCGCCA
rnacentral:tRNA from 1 species